rnacentral:lncRNA from 1 species
AUUAAUUUUAAAUCAGAAAAAUCAGAAAGUCAAAAACUUUUAAAAAAAAAAAAAAGAGAGAAAAAAGGUAAGAAAGUACCUGGAGAUAUCGUCAGGCGACUUGUGGUUGUUCUGAAAUUUGACAUAUCACCAAUUCUCUUCAAUAUCCUCUUUGUUCCUCGUAGUCUCCGGUGAAAGCGGCUCGGUGGCUAGGUCUAUUGGUUUAUGUAAACCGGGAAUCAAAUGUUAGAUUACCCUUGGUUAAACCAGAACAUUCUAGUAUAAAUAGAAUGUAUCGUUGCAACAAAUCAUUAAGAAGAAUAACAGAAAGAUCUUCAUCUUCUUCGUUUCUUCUUCGUUUCUUCUUCAAGCCUUCACUUGCUAUUAAGGUCAUAAUCCGGCGAACUGAAAUCGAUUUUGAUUUAGGGAGAAGACGACAGAGGAUUGAUGGAGAUCAUAUCAUUCAAUCAAUGAAACGAUGUAUAUAUAUAUAUGCAGAGAUCAUCAUAUAUCGGAUUUUACGUCAUCAAUGUCUACUUGGGAUCAUCAUCAGCGUUGAGAGACUGCGGAUAUCAAUGUCUACUUGAGAUCAUCAUCAUCUGUAUAAAGACUUCGCUCGAGAAGAAGAAGAAGCGAGAAAUAGAGAGUUUUGAUUUUUUUCUGUCAAGGAAGAAUUAGAAGAAGCGUUAAGAGAAUGCGUGAGAGAGAGAGAGAGAGAGAGAGAGUGUUUACAAGCAAAGAGGUUCAAAAGAAAAAGGAAAUUCACAGAGUCUCUGUAUUAAGACUUUCGCUCGAGAAGAAGAAGAAGAAGAAGAAGCUUUGAUUUCUCUCACAGGGAAGAAUAAGAAUUAGCGUUGAGAGAGAGUAUUUAUUUAUAAGCAAAAGAGGUCCAAAAAGAAAAGGAAACUAAUAAUCACAAUCCUUAACGGUCACAUAAUGAUUUCCUUUCUCUGUAAUCACAAUUAACGGUCACAUUAUAAUUUCCUUUUCUUUUCUUUUUUUGUUUUUGUUUAUGUGAGAGAAUGUGAUGAGUAAAAUUAAGGUGAAGAUCUCUGGUGGUGCUUAUAAUAUGCACGAAAGAGGUAACUAUAUAAAGGGCUUCGAAGAAUCAUAGAUGGAU